rnacentral:rRNA from 1 species
UACGUAGGGGGCUAGCGUUGUCCGGAUUUAUUGGGCGUAAAGAGCGUGUAGGCGGCCAGGUAGGUCUGCUGUGAAAACUCGAGGCUCAACCUCGAGACGUCGGCGGAAACCAUCUGGCUAGAGUCCGGAAGAGGAGAGUGGAAUUCCUGGUGUAGCGGUGAAAUGCGCAGAUAUCAGGAGGAACACCAAUUGCGAAGGCAGCUCGCUGGGACGUUACUGACGUGAGACGCGAAAGCGUGGGGAGCAAACAGGG